GCUUCUAUUAGCUUUAUAUUUCAAAAAUCCCAGGUACUUCCAGCUCCCCGGGACUACAGAAUCCAUGCAGGGAGGAAAAUGAACAGAGAUGGGGAAGGUGACAAUUAAGCAUAAGAGGCCUUCCUGGGGCUAGGACUUGGGAAGGAAGCUUCAAACACUGCAACGGUGAUGCUGAAAGGGUGUCAGAGACAAUAGGGCCGGGUGGGGACUGCAGCG
rnacentral:lncRNA from 1 species